rnacentral:rRNA from 1 species
ACAGCAGUCGCCGCGGUAAUACGAAGGGUGCAAGCGUUACUCGGAAUUACUGGGCGUAAAGCGUGCGUAGGUGGUGGUUUAAGUCCGUUGUGAAAGCCCUGGGCUCAACCUGGGAAUUGCAGUGGAUACUGGGUCACUAGAGUGUGGUAGAGGAUAGUGGAAUUUCCGGUGUAGCAGUGAAAUGCGUAGAGAUCGGAAGGAACAUCUGUGGCGAAGGCGACUAUCUGGGCCAACACUGACACUGAGGCACGAAAGCGUGGGGAGCAAACAGGAUUAGAUACCCGUGUAGUCCCUGUCUCUUAUAC